CAGGGAGGCGUUCACUGGUGCUCUAUUUAAGGACAGAACUGCUGCCACCUUUGCAGCCGUGUCAGCCAGUGUUCCUGGAUGUCCCCACGAAGACAGCUCAAAAUAAGUCACAAUCCAACUCUCAAAAAGCUGACGUCAACAGACUUACCUCCAGACAACUGUCGACUGCGCCCUGCCAGUCGGACAUCUUCAGUUUACAGGCGCCGAUGUUCAGCACGCAGCUUAAAGCCACGGGCUGCAGCUUGGCUGCGUCGGCCUCCUGGGUGACAGCCUUGGACGCUUCCACGUACCU